rnacentral:snRNA from 1 species
GGGAGAGACGAGCGGAGA